rnacentral:tRNA from 1 species
AAAUAAGAAGCAAUUUGCAUUUAAUUUCGACUUAAAAGAUAGAGUUAAUAACUCCUUAUUUAUUAAGUUAAUUA